AAUAGCAAAGCAAAGCAAGUUCAAAGAACUUAAGCAACUAAGGGUACCUGAAAUAGUCAAACAGAUCAGUACACAGACAAACAACAGUAAACAGCAGAAGUCAAUAGUUAAGUUGUACAAUCAGACAUAAUCACAAUGCACGAAGGUGCAAGCCAUAAGCUCAUACUCAAAGGUCAACCCUACAAAACAAAUUCAAAUUAAUCAUACACAAACAAACAGUCAAUUCCCAUUGGAUAAUCAUCAUCAAGCCUAAGCACAUGUGCUUCUAACCUGAAACAAAACUCAAAUGUGAGAGCACAGACCACUAGGACAAGGCCUAGGGUCAAAAGAGGGAAAAAAUCCAGGACAGAAGCUGAUACUCCAUAUUUAAUCAAGUACUAACAUGUCCUAAAAUUAAGGGAGCAUGCAAGAUUGAAUUAUUUCUAAGCCUAGGGGUAGAAUGGUCAUUUCACAGUUAGGGAGUAAUAUUGAAUUAAAUUUCUAUUUACAAAAGUAAGUUCUAUUUAAAGCCAAUUAGAACUAAACUAAAUUUAAUAUUUC
rnacentral:lncRNA from 1 species